AGUUGGUGGAGUGAUUUGUCUGGUUAAUUCCGUUAACGAACGAGACCUCGACCUACUAAAUAGUACAGCGAACUCUUCGGGGUUUGUCUGCGACUUCUUAGAGGGACUCUCGGUUUGUAGCCGAUGGAAGUUCGAGGCAAUAACAGGU
rnacentral:rRNA from 1 species